AUACGGAGGGGGCUAGCGUUGUUCGGAAUUACUGGGCGUAAAGCGUACGUAGGCGGACUGAUCAGUUGGGGGUGAAAUCCCAGGGCUUAACCCUGGAACUGCCUUCAAUACUGUCAGUCUUGAGAUUGGAAGAGGUGAGUGGAAUUCCUAGUGUAGAGGUGAAAUUCGUAGAUAUUAGGAAGAACACCAGUGGCGAAGGCGGCUCACUGGCCCGAUACUGACGCUGAGGCGCGAAAGCGUGGGGAGCAAACAGGAUUAGAAACCCUAGUAGUCC
rnacentral:rRNA from 1 species